UGAGCUGCAUGGGGAUUGUUUUUCAUAAUCUUUCUGUUGUAUAAGCUAAUACUCUUCAUGGUUUAACUUUUAAAAUCAGCUCUAGCUUGUCCAUUUGUUUUUUAGUGAUAGGUAUAUUUAUUAAAGCAUUAAAUUUUCAAGAAAUAGCGAGUUGCUAUCUCAAGUUGUCUGACCAUGCAUUCAUAUAGAAGGAUAGGUGGCAGAAACAAGUAGAUUGGGUAAUGAAUUUAUGAUAGUUUUAUGCUAAGAUUGCUAUCAUAAGAAGUUAGGGUGGGCCUCCUCUCAAUUUAAGGUCAUGUCAGCAUUUCUUAUAGAAGUUAUUAUAUCGGCAAUAGUGUCCCUACCCAUAAGGAACUAUCAUUUUUUUUGCCAAAAAAUUUGGAUAUAAUCAACAUGUUUCCUUUUUUCUUUUUUCUUUGUUUGGGUAAAUGGUAGCUAAAUGGUUGUUGUAUAACAAAGAUUUGACU
rnacentral:lncRNA from 1 species